GAGUAAAGAAGAGAGAGAAAGAAGAAGAAAGGAAAAGAGGAAGAAAAAGAAAGAAGAACAAGGGGAAGUUGACCGCAGAGCUUCACCAGAGCUAGGUCUUGGUAUUUCGAGCCUGGAUUUAUGAUCAGCUUGCCGAGGUCUUUGAUUUGAGAUGAUGAUGCAGGUACCGUAGUACUGAUGGGAUGCGACUCUACCUCGGCACCUGAGUACGGAGUGACUGACUGGUGGAUGCUAGAAGUGGAAGAGCAUGAUCAGGACUGCACAUGCGACACCUGUGCUUUUGCUGCACCUUGAGUGGUUGGGUGUCAUUUUGUGUUAUUCUAAUACCGAAUUGUGAAUGGUAUUCUUUUUGGCUUAUUAUUUAUAAGUCGUGGAUAUUUGUAAACGAAUAACUUGGUUAUGAAUAUAUAGUAUCAUUUAGAUGAUACCCCACUUUAAGAA